GAGGGUGACAGCAGAGGAGUGUGCUGUGUGAUUUCUGGGGGGGUGACAGAGGCAGAAAUCACACAGCACACUCCUCAGCUGCCACCCCCC
rnacentral:pre_miRNA from 1 species